rnacentral:rRNA from 1 species
UGAUGACGAGACGCUAAGGCGUUGAAGUAGUGUAUGUCAGACUUCCAAGAAAAGCUCGCAAUGUCACAAAUAAAAAUGCCUGUACCAUAACCGACACAGGUGGGUAGGUAGAGUAUACUAAGGGGCGCGAGAUAACUCUCUCUAAGGAACUCGGCAAAAUGACUCCGUAACUUCGGGAGAAGGAGUGCCUUAUUUAUAAGGUUGCAAUAACAAGAUCCAAGCAACUGUUUAUCAAAAACACAGGUCUCCGCUAAGUCGUAAGACGAUGUAUGGGGGCUGACGCCUGCCCAGUGCCAGAAGGUUAAAGAAGUUGGUUAGUGUAUGCGAAGCUGAUGACUGAAGCCCUGGUGAACGGCGGCCGUAACGAUAACGGUCCUAAGGUAGCGAAAUUCCUUGUCGGGUAAGUUCCGACCCGCACGAAAGGCGUAAUGAUUUGGAUACUGUCUCGGAGAGAGGCUCGGUGAAAUAGACUUGUCUGUGAAGAUGCGGACUACCUGCACCAGGACAGAAAGACCCUAUGAAGCUUUACUGUAACUUGAAAUUGGAAUUGGACUUUGCUUGCGCAGUAUAGGUGGGAAGCGUUGAAAAUAUUCUUGCGGGAGUAUUGGAGCUAUCAGUGAGAUACCACUCUUGUAAUGUUAGAUUUCUAACUUUGAACCAUAAUCUGGUCAAAGAACAGUUUCAGGUGGGCAGUUUGACUGGGGCGGUCGCCUCCCAAAUGGUAACGGAGGCGUACAAAGGUUUCCUCUGAACGGAUAGAAAUCGUAUCUAGAGUGUAAAGGCAUAAGGAAGCUUGACUGUGAGACCUACAAGUCGAGCAGGGACGAAAGUCGGUCUUAGUGAUCUGACGGUACUGAGUGGAAAGGCCGUCACUCAACGGAUAAAAGUUACUCUAAGGAUAACAGGCUGAUCUCCCCCAAGAGUUCACAUCGACGGGGAGGUUUGGCACCUCGAUGUCGGCUCAUCGCAUCCUGGGGCGGUAGUACGUCCCAAGGGUUGGGCUGUUCGCCCAUGAAAGCGGUACGCGAGCUGGGUUCAGAACGUCGUGAGACAGUUCGGUCCAUAUCCGGUGUAGGCGCUAGAAUAUUGAGAGGAGCCUUCUUUAGUACGAGAGGACCGAGAAGGACACACCGCUGGUGUACCAGUUAUCGUGCCAACGGUAAACGCUGGGUAGCUAUGUGUGGAGUGGAUAACCGCUGAAAGCAUCUAAGUGGGAAGCCCACCUCGAGAUGAG